rnacentral:rRNA from 1 species
GACGAACCGAGCGAACGUUAUUCGGAAUCACUGGGCUUCAAGGGCGCGUAGGCGGGCGAUCAAGUCAGGGGUGAAAGCCCCCAGCUCAACUGGGGAAGUGCCUCUGAUACUGGUCGCCUCGAGGGAGGUAGGGGCGUGCGGAACUUCCGGUGGAGCGGUGAAAUGCGUAGAUAUCGGAAGGAACAUCGGUGGCGAAAGCGGCGCGCUGGACCUCUUCUGACGCUGAGGCGCGAAAGCCAGGGGAGCGAACGGG